rnacentral:rRNA from 1 species
AUGAAGUCGGAAUUGCUAGUAAUCGCGGAUCAGCAUGCCGCGGUGAAUACGUUCCCGGGCCUUGUACACACCGCCCGUCACACCAUGGGAGUCGGUAACACCCGAAGCCGAUAGUCUAACGAAAGAGGACGUCGUCGAAGGUGGGAUUGAUGACUGGGGUGAAGUCGUAACAAGGUAUC